UAUUACCUCUUUAUUCCUAUAUCGUCGCUUUUUAAAUCAUGAACGCUUUUUAAGGACGCAUGGCGACGCGGAGCUUGCGUGGAAGCGCUUUCGGCGUGCUCCGCCGAGUUGAGCCGCUCGUGGUGCUCCAGCAGCUGGGCACGUCUUUGUUCAACACCGCUCUGCUUAUGGUGGUCAAGGACCGGUUCACCAACGCCACCUUCCCGGGCACCGCUGACACUCGUUUCUCCGGGGAAGACGAGCAGCAGCGAGCCAUGUCGGAUUUCUAUUUGGUCAACAACCUCAUCGUCCAGCUGACGCCUAUCGUGCCCGCUCUCCUCCUCGCCAAGGCGGGCGACCGAGGUUGGAGAAGGGCGCCCGUCUUGGUACCCCUGUGCGGGUACCUGCUGUCGAGCGUCACCCUCCUCCAGGUAGUUCUUUUACAGUUGCCCAUCCAGGUGAUGUUCGGGUCGGCGGCUCUCUUUGGGAUAUCCGGCGGCUUCUGCGCUUACUGGCCCGGCGUCAUGACGUUGGCGUCGCUCGGCUCCGACGCGGAGAAUCGCUCCAAGGUGAUGAUGAGAGUGGAGCUGAUGUACGGAGCGGCGGGCCUCCUGGGCAGUCUGCUGUCAGGUCAUGUGUUCCUACUGUAUAGUUCUAGUGUCCGACAUGGAACUGUCCUACUUUGCGUCUGCACGCUUCUCCACCUGCUCGGCCUCACUCACGCCGCCGUGCUGCUGCAGGUAAAGCAAGUAUCAAGUGAGCCUGAGGAGUGCAGCCCCCUGCUCCCCGACUCCUCUGCUGGCGUUCCUGCAGAGACUUUCAAAAGGAAGAACAUGGUAAACGUGGUUCUGCUCUUCUCCGCGGCCAUCUUGUAUGGCUCCUCGGUGGGCGGAGCCAUGGAGAUCCUGGGCGUCUUUGUGAUGAAAGAGCCACUCAACUGGAACGCUGCCCAAUUUGCUCCUCUAGGUGGGUUACGGCAACGCAGCGGGCUUUGUGAUCUUCCUCAGCAGUUACCUAGGCGCCAUUGCUUUUCGCCGCUGCGUGUGCGACGUCACGCUCAUAUUGUUCGGCAUGCUUUCGUUCGCCUGCGGGAUCUACUUCAUGUCUUUCGUCACCGCAUCUUACAUGUUCUACCUCGCUCGCUCGCUCAGCCUCUUUGCCCUCAUCCCGCUACCUACGAUCAGAUCACUUCUCUCCCAGCAGGUUCCAACAUCCCUGUGUGGCAUCACUUUGACAGCUCUGCAGCUGGCGUUGAGGUUCGGAGCUCUGGUGUACAUUCCUGCCUUCACUAAACUCUACCAGAGAACACUGGGCUGGUUCCCAGGUUUCGUCUUCACCCUUUCCAGCAUACUGGCAGUUCUGGGAAUGAUUCCCAUCAGUGUCGUGGGAUGCAGACGGUCUCAGCCAAGAUGUCCCAAAGAGAUAGGCACGACGGUCGAGACACGCCAUUUGGAGGAGAACUGAAGCCCGCUUCCUCUAAAGAUAAAACCGUGAACACUUCAAAAAGGAAAGAUGAGCAGAUGUGUGUUUUACGUCACACAGCGUGCAGCCUUUGGAAUAACUAUAGUGUGGAAUGAGAUCUGAUGAAAAAAAAAAUGGACGGCAGAUAUCUCGAAACUCUCAUGGCCUGACCAAGGUUAUAUUAUUUACAAUGUCAUUAGAUGUUUUUUUAUUAAAUUUCAAUGAAUGAAAAUUUGCUUUUUCACUACAUUCUGUUAACAGAACAAGGAAUAGAGGACAAACUUCACAGAUAAAUAUCAAAUCAAUUUAUUUUAAUAUUGGUCCAAUAUAUCCCAAAAUAGUUUGAGGUAAAGGUAAUCGCGUCAGUACAACAUCAAUAUCCAGGCCUCAUAUUUAUAUCUAAUUACAAGAUGUUCAAGUCUACAGAAUGGACCAAAA